UGUAAGAGGCAUCUGCAGGGGAGUGGUCAGCAAAUACUUCAUGCCACUAGUGCAAGAGCUCAUGACUCGCGAUGGGCCCCGUCAAGCCUGUAAAAAAAUUCAUCUCUGCUGGUGGAGCCCACUGCAAGGGCCAGUGUGAGCAGGCAGGAAGAGGAAAUGUCCCAAGUUGCCGGACAGUGCAGAGCUCUCUCUCUCUCUCUCUCUCUCUCUGUCUCCCACACAGAGCAUUUUCUCAUUCGGUUCUUCUCAUAAUUAAAGGCUUAAGCAGACCCUGGCAUCACUUGCUAAAGAUAAAAGGCGCUACUUCCAGAAACUAUUCUACUGUCGCUCAAUAAAGCAUGAUUACAAAAAAA